rnacentral:rRNA from 1 species
CCUACGGGUGGCAGCAGUGAGGAAUAUUGGUCAAUGGGCGCGAGUCUGAACCAGCCAUGCCGCGUGCGGGAAGACGGCUCUAUGGAUUGUAAACUUCUUUUGUACGGGAGUAAACGCAGCUACGCGUGUCUGUCUGAGAGUAUCGUACGAAUAAGCAUCGGCUAACUCCGUGCCAGCAGCCGCGGUAAUACGGAGGAUUCAAGCGUUAUCCGGAUUUAUUGGGUUUAAAGGGUGCGUAGGCGGGCGGAUAAGUUAGAGGUGAAAUCCCGAGGCUCAACUUCGGACUUGCCGUUGAUACUGGUUGGCUAGAGAGUAGGUGAGGUAGGCGGAAUGUAUGGUGUAGCGGUGAAAUGCUUAGAGAUCAUACAGAACACCGAUUGCGAAGGCAGCUUACCAAGGUACUUCUGACGCUGAGGCACGAAAGUGUGGGGAGCAAACAGGAUUAGAUACCCCUGUAGUC